rnacentral:rRNA from 1 species
UGGGGAAUAUUGCACAAUGGGCGCAAGCCUGAUGCAGCCAUGCCGCGUGUAUGAAGAAGGCCUUCGGGUUGUAAAGCACUUUCAGCGGGGAGGAAGGCGUUAAGGUUAAUAACCUUGGCGAUUGACGUUACCCGCAGAAGAAGCACCGGCUAACUCCGUGCCAGCAGCCGCGGUAAUACGGAGGGUGCAAGCGUUAAUCGGAAUUACUGGGCGUAAAGCGCACGCAGGCGGUCUGUCAAGUCGGAUGUGAAAUCCCCGGGCUCAACCUGGGAACUGCAUUCGAAACUGGCAGGUUAGAGUCUUGUAGAGGGGGGUAGAAUUCCAGGUGUAGCGGUGAAAUGCGUAGAGAUCUGGAGGAAUACCGGUGGCGAAGGCGGCCCCCUGGACGAAGACUGACGCUCAGGUGCGAAAGCGUGGGGAGCAAACAGG